rnacentral:rRNA from 1 species
GACGAACGCUGGCGGCGUGCCUAACACAUGCAAGUCGAACGGAAAGACCCUGCCUUUGUGGGGUGCUCGAGUGGCGAAAGGGUGAGUAACACGGGAGUAACCUGCCCUUGGCUUUUGGAUAACUUCAGGAAACUGGGGGUAAUACCGGAUAGGAGCUCCUGCUGCAUGGUGGGGGUUGGAAAGUUUCGGCGGUUGGGGAUGGACUCGCGGGUUAUCAGCUUGUUGGUGGGGUAGUGGCUUACCAAGGCUUUGACGGGUAGCCGGCCUGAGGGGGUGACCGGCCACAUUGGGACUGAGAUACGGCCCAGACUCCUACGGGAGGCAGCAGUGGGGAAUAUUGCACAAUGGGCGGAAGCCUGAUGCAGCAACGCCGCGUGCGGGAUGACGGCCUUCGGGUUGUAAACCGCUUUCGCCUGUGACGAAGCGUGAGUGACGGUAAUGGGUAAAGAAGCACCGGCUAACUACGUG